GAUGAACGCUAGCGGCAGGCUUAAUACAUGCAAGUCGAGGGGCAGCACAGAUAGCAAUAUUGGGUGGCGACCGGCAAACGGGUGCGGAACACGUACACAACCUUCCUUUUAGUGUGGGAUAGCCCAGAGAAAUUUGGAUUAAUACCACAUAGUAUAUUGGAGUGGCAUCACUUUGAUAUUAAAGAUUUAUCGCUAAAAGAUGGGUGUGCGUAUGAUUAGGUAGUUGGUAGAGGUAACGGCACACCAAGCCUUCGAUCAUUAACUGGUGUGAGAGCACGACCAGUCACACGGGCACUGAGACACGGGCCCGACUCCUACGGGAGGCAGCAGUAAGGAAUAUUGGCCAAUGGACGGAAGUCUGAACCAGCCAUGCCGCGUGAAGGAUGACGGCCCUCUGGGUUGUAAACUUCUUUUAUGUGGGACGAAAAAGGGCCAUUUUUGGUCAACUGACGGUACCAUAGGAAUAAGCACCGGCUAACUCCGUGCCAGCAGCCGCAGUAAGAC
rnacentral:rRNA from 1 species